rnacentral:rRNA from 1 species
UACGUAGGUGGCAAGCGUUGUCCGGAUUUACUGGGCGUAAAGAGCGCGCAGGCGGUCGUUCAAGUCGCGUGUGAAAGCCCCCGGCUCAACUGGGGAGGGUCACGCGAUACUGAUCGACUCGAAGGCAGGAGAGGGUAGUGGAAUUCCCGGUGUAGUGGUGAAAUGCGUAGAGAUCGGGAGGAACACCCGUGGCGAAGGCGGCUCACUGGGCUGACCUUGACGCUGAGGCGCGAAGGCGUGGGGAGCGAACGGG